AGAUUGAAACCUUUUGUGUCCAGAGCAAGUAUUUAUACCAAUGACCCAAUCAAACUGACAAGUCCUUACGCCAUUGUUUAUACCAAGAUAGGGAAACUGCUUUGUGUUGUUGUCCAUAUUUAACAGUUCACUCCGUAAGUAUAAUGUAAUGAACAAU